rnacentral:rRNA from 1 species
AUUGAACGCUGGCGGCAUGCCUUACACAUGCAAGUCGAACGGCAGCGCGGGGGCAACCCUGGCGGCGAGUGGCGAACGGGUGAGUAAAAUAUCGGAACGUGCCCUAAAGUGGGGGAUAACGUAGCGAAAGUUACGCUAAUACCGCAUAAGAUCUAAGGAUGAAAGCGGGGGAUCGCAAGACCUCGUGCUUCAGGAGUGGCCGAUAACUGAUUAGCUAGUUGGUGGGGUAAAGGCUCACCAAGGCGACGAUCAGUAGCUGGUCUGAGAGGACGACCAGCCACACUGGGACUGAGACACGGCCCAGACUCCUACGGGAGGCAGCAGUGGGGAAUUUUGGACAAUGGGGGCAACCCUGAUCCAGCAAUGCCGCGUGUGUGAAGAAGGCCUUCGGGUUGUAAAGCACUUUUGUUCGGGACGAAACGGUUUGGGCAAAUACCCUGAGCUAAUGACGGUACCGAAAGAAUAAGCACCGGCUAACUACGUGCCAGCCGCCGCAGUAA